GAUGAACGCUGGCGGCGUGCCUAAUACAUGCAAGUCGAGCGAACGGACGAGAAGCUUGCUUCUCUGAUGUUAGCGGCGGACGGGUGAGUAACACGUGGAUAACCUACCUAUAAGACUGGGAUAACUUCGGGAAACCGGAGCUAAUACCGGAUGAUAUUUUGAACCGCAUGGUUCAAAAGUGAAAGACGGUCUUGCUGUCACUUAUAGAUGGAUCCGCGCUGCAUUAUCUAGUUGGUAAGGUAACGGCUUACCAAGGCAACGAUGCAUAUCCGACCUGAGAGGGUGAUCGGCCACACUGGAACUGCGACACGGUCCAGACUCCUACGGGAGGCAGCAGUAGGGAAUCUUCCGCAAUGGGCGAAAGCCUGACGGAGCAACGCCGCGUGAGUGAUGAAGGUCUUCGGAUCGUAAAACUCUGUUAUUAGGGAAGAACAUAUGUGUAAGUAACUGUGAAAAUCUUGACGGUACCUAAUCAGAAAGCCACGGCUAACUACGUG
rnacentral:rRNA from 1 species